AACUCUGAGAACCUGGUGGAGCUCUUAGAGUUAAAACCCGCAAAAGGUGAGAACCUCCCAUUGACUGUCCCCUACCCCAGAUAUUUUAACUCCCAGGCUUGUCCAUGCUGAGCCUCCAGCAACUCAUCAAUGCAGGUCAGGUUCCUAUACCCAGCACUGGUGCCCACGGUGGUUUCUGCCAGUGGAUUUCUGCUUAGGUAAGUUGUGAUUCCCUGUGUCUGCCUCUCUGUCUCUCAAAUUUUGGGAGCAGCUGUUUACUCUGUGACUUACUUCUCUAAGAAGAGUUGUUGAUUGUUCAGUUUGUUCAGAUUUUUACUGUUGUUAGGACAAAGUAACAAAUUCCAAGCUCUUUACAUGCCAGACCAGAAGCCAGACGUCUCAAUUUUAUUUCUUAGAUGCAUAACAUAUUUUUGACUGACGAGGAGUGCUAGAGGCAGAGGAGGGACCUGUAUUCAUCAGGAAGAACUCUCUGAGGCCCUGGACUCGAGCAGUAUGAUUUGGGCCUAGUAGCAAUGUGCACGAGGGAAGCAGGAACCCUCUCCUCACUGAUGUAUGGACCACUUGGGCCCUUCCAGGGUUCACAAUUUUGAAAGCCUCAGGAUAAAACACCUUUGUCUCAGACUUGGACAUGAGCUCUUCCAUGAAGAAACCCAGCAGCAGAGGAAGUGGCAAAAUUACUCAGGAACCUGAAGAUUGGAAAAAACUUGAGUUCUUACUCAGGAGAGCUCAGCCUUCUGCAAGCAAAGGUGGUCACGGGACCUUAGUCUGGACACAGGAAGCACAAGGAAUACACUGGGUUCUCAACUCCCCUCCCUACUAUCUUCUGUACCUUCUCCUCAGGCCUUCGUUUUGCUGAAGCAGGUGCCAGGGCCACGGGACAACUGGUAAAGUUGAUGUGGAUUGAUGUUUACGCAUAUUAGGAAAGGGAAGAAGAAUUAUCCCCAAAAUAAUCUUCUCCCACUCCUUUCUACCUCAAGCACUAACUGUUAUUAAACAACACUAGAUCCUAGAAAGAUGCUGUAGAAAUUAAAACAUUGUUCUUCCUUUUGUCUGUUGUCUUUAAUAACUAUGGUAUUUGAAAACUUACUAUAGUCAAUGUCUUUUUAAUUAUACAACACCCUGAAAACAUAUCUUUCCUGACAAGAUCAUACAAAUCUUGUGUGCAUUUACAUAUAUACACAUUUAUUUCUAUUUAUAUGUGUAUAUGGACAUGCGGGUGUGCAAGUAUAUAUG
rnacentral:lncRNA from 1 species